rnacentral:antisense_RNA from 1 species
UGUGGGAGCGAGCCUGCUCGCGAAGGCGUCGUUUCAGGUAAAUCAAUGUUGGAUGACCUAACGCUUUCGCGAGCAGGCUCGCUCCCACA